rnacentral:rRNA from 1 species
UUAAGCGAACAAGCGUACACGGUGGAUGCCCUGGCAGUCAGAGGCGAUGAAGGACGUGCUAAUCUGCGAAAAGCGCCGGUAAGGUGAUAUGAACCGUUAUAACCGGCGAUGUCCGAAUGGGGAAACCCGGUGCACUUCGGUGCAUCAUCGUUAGCUGAAUACAUAGGCUAACGAGGCGAACCGGGGGAACUGAAACAUCUAAGUACCCCGAGGAAAAGAAAUCAACCGAGAUUCCCCCAGUAGCGGCGAGCGAACGGGGAACAGCCCAGAGCCUGAAUCAGCUUGUGUGUCAGUGGAACGGUCUGGAAAGGCCGGCGAUACAGGGUGACAGCCCCGUACACGAAGGCACACAGGCUGUGAGCUCGAUGAGUAGGGCGGGACACGUGAUAUCCUGUCUGAAGAUGGGGGGACCAUCCUCCAAGGCUAAAUACUCCUGACUGACCGAUAGUGAACCAGUACCGUGAGGGAAAGGCGAAAAGAACCCCGGCGAGGGGAGUGAAACAGAACCUGAAACCGUGUACGUACAAGCAGUGGGAGCCUUCGUAAGAGGGUGACUGCGUACCUUUUGUAUAAUGGGUCAGCGACUUAUAUUCUGUAGCAAGGUUAACCGUAUAGGGGAGCCGAAGGGAAACCGAGUCUUAACCGGGCGUUAAGUUGCAGGGUAUAGACCCGAAACCCGGUGAUCUAGCCAUGGGCAGGUUGAAGGUUGGGUAACACUAACUGGAGGACCGAACCGACUAAUGUUGAAAAAUUAGCGGAUGACCUGUGGCUGGGGGUGAAAGGCCAAUCAAACCGGGAGAUAGCUGGUUCUCCCCGAAAGCUAUUUAGGUAGCGCCUCGUGAACUCAUCUCCGGGGGUAGAGCACUGUUUCGGCUAGGGGGCCAUCCCGGCUUACCAACCCGAUGCAAACUGCGAAUACCGGAGAAUGUUAUCACGGGAGACACACGGCGGGUGCUAACGUCCGUCGUGAAGAGGGAAACAACCCAGACCGCCAGCUAAGGUCCCAAAGUCAUGGUUAAGUGGGAAACGAUGUGGGAAGGCCCAGACAGCCAGGAUGUUGGCUUAGAAGCAGCCAUCAUUUAAAGAAAGCGUAAUAGCUCACUGGUCGAGUCGGCCUGCGCGGAAGAUGUAACGGGGCUAAACCAUGCACCGAAGCUGCGGCAGCGACGCUUAUGCGUUGUUGGGUAGGGGAGCGUUCUGUAAGCCUGUGAAGGUGUGCUGUGAGGCAUGCUGGAGGUAUCAGAAGUGCGAAUGCUGACAUAAGUAACGAUAAAGCGGGUGAAAAGCCCGCUCGCCGGAAGACCAAGGGUUCCUGUCCAACGUUAAUCGGGGCAGGGUGAGUCGACCCCUAAGGCGAGGCCGAAAGGCGUAGUCGAUGGGAAACAGGUUAAUAUUCCUGUACUUGGUGUUACUGCGAAGGGGGGACGGAGAAGGCUAUGUCGGCCGGGCGACGGUUGUCCCGGUUUAAGCGUGUAGGCUGACUUUCCAGGCAAAUCCGGAAAGUUAAGGCUGAGGCGUGAUGACGAGGCACCACGGUGCUGAAGUGACAAAUGCCCUGCUUCCAGGAAAAGCCUCUAAGCAUCAGGUAACAUCAAAUCGUACCCCAAACCGACACAGGUGGUCAGGUAGAGAAUACCAAGGCGCUUGAGAGAACUCGGGUGAAGGAACUAGGCAAAAUGGUGCCGUAACUUCGGGAGAAGGCACGCUGACAUGUAGGUGAAGCCCCUGCGGGUGGAGCUGAAGUCAGUCGAAGAUACCAGCUGGCUGCAACUGUUUAUUAAAAACACAGCACUGUGCAAACACGAAAGUGGACGUAUACGGUGUGACGCCUGCCCGGUGCCGGAAGGUUAAUUGAUGGGGUUAUCGCAAGAGAAGCUCCUGAUCGAAGCCCCGGUAAACGGCGGCCGUAACUAUAACGGUCCUAAGGUAGCGAAAUUCCUUGUCGGGUAAGUUCCGACCUGCACGAAUGGCGUAAUGAUGGCCAGGCUGUCUCCACCCGAGACUCAGUGAAAUUGAACUCGCUGUGAAGAUGCAGUGUACCCGCGGCAAGACGGAAAGACCCCGUGAACCUUUACUACAGCUUGACACUGAACAUUGAGCCUUGAUGUGUAGGAUAGGUGGGAGGCUUUGAAGCGUGGACGCCAGUCUGCGUGGAGCCGACCUUGAAAUACCACCCUUUAAUGUUUGAUGUUCUAACCUGGCGCCGUAAUCCGGCGUGGGGACAGUGUCUGGUGGGUAGUUUGACUGGGGCGGUCUCCUCCCAAAGUGUAACGGAGGAGCACGAAGGUCAGCUAAUCCUGGUCGGACAUCAGGAGGUUAGUGCAAUGGCAUAAGCUGGCUUGACUGCGAGAGUGACGGCUCGAGCAGGUGCGAAAGCAGGUCAUAGUGAUCCGGUGGUUCUGUAUGGAAGGGCCAUCGCUCAACGGAUAAAAGGUACUCCGGGGAUAACAGGCUGAUACCGCCCAAGAGUUCAUAUCGACGGCGGUGUUUGGCACCUCGAUGUCGGCUCAUCACAUCCUGGGGCUGAAGUAGGUCCCAAGGGUAUGGCUGUUCGCCAUUUAAAGUGGUACGCGAGCUGGGUUUAGAACGUCGUGAGACAGUUCGGUCCCUAUCUGCCGUGGGCGCUGGAGAAUUGAGGGGGGCUGCUCCCAGUACGAGAGGACCGGAGUGGACGCAUCACUGGUGUUCGGGUUGUCAUGCCAAUGGCACUGCCCGGUAGCUAAAUGCGGAAGAGAUAAGUGCUGAAAGCAUCUAAGCACGAAACUUGCCCCGAGAUGAGUUCUCCCUGAGACUAUAAGUCUCCUGAAGGAACGUUGAAGACGACGACGUUGAUAGGCCGGGUGUGUAAGCGCAGCGAUGCGUUGAGCUAACCGGUACUAAUGAACCGUGAGGCUUAACCUU